UACGUAGGUGGCGAGCGUUGUCCGGAUUUACUGGGCGUAAAGCGCGCGCAGGCGGUUCUGUAAGUCCUGGGUGAAAUCGCCCAGCUCAACUGGGCGGGGGCCUGGGGGACUGCGGGACUGGAGGGGCCUAGAGGCCGGUGGAACUCCCGGUGUAGUGGUGAAAUGCGUAGAGGUCGGGAAGAACACCAGUGGCGAAGGCGGCCGGCUGGGGGCGCCCUGACGCUGAGGCGCGAGAGCGUGGGGAGCAAACAGG
rnacentral:rRNA from 1 species